UAAGGAAUAUUGGUCAAUGGACGCAAGUCUGAACCAGCCAUGCCGCGUGAAGGAUGAAGGUCCUCUGGAUUGUAAACUUCUUUUAUCUGGGACGAAAACGGGAUUUUUAUCUCAAUUGACGGUACCAGAGGAAUAGGCACCGGCUAACUCCGUGCCAGCAGCCGCGGUAAUACGGAGGGUGCGAGCGUUAUCCGGAUUUACUGGGUUUAAAGGGUGCGUAGGUGGGCUUAUAAGUCAGUGGUGAAAUCUCCGAGCUUAACUUGGAAACUGCCGUUGAUACUAUAGGCCUUGAAUUAUCUGGAGGUAAGCGGAAUAUGUCAUGUAGCGGUGAAAUGCUUAGAUAAGACAUAGAACACCAAUUGCGAAGGCAGCUUACUACAUAUAAAUUGACGCUGAGGCACGAAAGCGUGGGGAUCAAACA
rnacentral:rRNA from 1 species